CUACGGGCCGCUGCAGCGGGGAAUAUUGGACAAUGGGGGAAACCCUGAUCCAGCAAUGCCGCGUGUGUGAAGAAGGCCUGCGGGUUGUAAAGCACUUUCGGUUGGGAGGACUGCUUCUAGCACUAAUAUUGUUGGAAGUUGACGUUACCUUCAGAAGAAGCACCGGCUAACUCCGUGCCAGCAGCCACGGUAAUACGGAGGGUGCAAGCGUUAAUCGGAAUUACUGGGCGUAAAGCGCGCGUAGGCGGCUAGAUCAGUCGGGUGUGAAAGCCCCGGGCUUAACCUGGGAACUGCAUCCGAUACUGUCUAGCUUGAGUACAGGAGAGGAGAGUGGAAUUCCACAUGUAGCGGUGAAAUGCGUAGAUAUGUGGAGGAACACCAAUGGCGAAGGCAGCUCUCUGGCCUGAUACUGACGCUGAGGUGCGAAAGCGUGGGGAGCAAACAGGAUUAGAUACCCGGGUAGUC
rnacentral:rRNA from 1 species